rnacentral:rRNA from 1 species
GAUGAACGCUGGCGGCGUGCCUAAUACAUGCAAGUUGAGCGAUGAAGAUUGGUGCUUGCACCAAUUUGAAGAGCAGCGAACGGGUGAGUAACGCGUGGGGAAUCUGCCUUUGAGCGGGGGACAACAUUUGGAAACGAAUGCUAAUACCGCAUAACAACUUUAAACAUAAGUUUGAAGUUUGAAAGAUGCAAUUGCAUCACUCAAAGAUGAUCCCGCGUUGUAUUAGCUAGUUGGUGAGGUAAAGGCUCACCAAGGCGAUGAUACAUAGCCGACCUGAGAGGGUGAUCGGCCACAUUGGGACUGAGACACGGCCCAAACUCCUACAGGAGGCAGCAGUAGUGAAUCUUCGGCCAUGGACGAAAGUCUGACCGAGCAACGCCGCGUGAGUGAAGAAGGUUUUCGGAUCGUAAAACUCUGUUGGUAGAGAAGAACGUUGGUGAGAGUGGAAAGCUCAUCAAGUGACGGUAACUACCCAGAAAGGGACGGCUAACUACGUG